UACGUAGGGGGCAAGCGUUGUCCGGAAUCAUUGGGCGUAAAGAGCGUGUAGGCGGCUAGAUAGGUCCGUUGUGAAAACUCGAGGCUCAACCUCGAGACGCCGAUGGAAACCAUCUAGCUAGAGUCCGGAAGAGGAGAAUGGAAUUCCUGGUGUAGCGGUGAAAUGCGCAGAUAUCAGGAAGAACACCCGUGGCUAAGGCGGUUCUCUAGUACGGUACUGACGCUGAGACGCGAAAGCGUGGGGAGCGAACAGG
rnacentral:rRNA from 1 species